rnacentral:rRNA from 1 species
GUUUGAUCCUGGCUCAGGAUGAACGCUAGCGGCAGGCUUAACACAUGCAAGUCGAGGGGCAGCAUGAAUGUAGCAAUACAUUUGAUGGCGACCGGCGCACGGGUGCGUAACGCGUAUGCAACCUACCUAUAACAGGGGGAUAAUCCGAAGAAAUUUGGUCUAAUACCCCAUAAUAUCUGAGAAGGCAUCUUUUCAGGUUGAAAGCUCCGACGGUUAUAGAUGGGCAUGCGUUGUAUUAGGUAGUUGGUGAGGUAACGUUUCAACUCGCCGAUGAUACAUAUGGGGACUGAUAGGCUAACCCCCCAUGAUGGUUUGGAGACAUCCCCCCCUUCCCUACGGUAGUCCCUGGUGAGCAAUCUAGAUCGAUGGACUCAAUGCUGGCACUACAUGCCGCGUGUGGGAUGACUGCUCUAUGAAUUGCAAACUGCCUUUAUACGAGGUGAAAACCACCCAGCUGCACCUGUCUGAUCGGUCCGUAAGAAUAAGUGUCUUAUAAAUUCUUGGCCAAAAGACGGGAAUACCGA